rnacentral:sRNA from 1 species
CUACUUCUAUCUGCUGGGGACAAAUAAAAUGGAUAUGGGUAUCAAUACCGCCAGCCGUGAGAAUCAUUCCUUCCCCAGCUAAAGCUUCAGUUCCAGGGCCGAUAAUAAUAUCUACAUUGUCUUGAAUAUAAGGAUUCCCCGCUUUCCCAAUUUUAAAUAUUUUGCCAUCUUUAAUGCCGAUAUCUGCUUUGACUAUUCCCCACCAAUCGAGGAUUAAAGCAUUAGUAAUAACUAAAUCUACUGCACCAUCGGCGUUAGCAAUGGGGGAUUGUCCCAUCCCAUCCCUAA